AUGACGCGGUUCGGGAUCGCCGCGCGCUUCAACGCCACCUCGUCGGCCGUGUCGGAGGCCGCCGCCGCGCCGGGCGCCGUCCACGCGGUGCCGCGGACCGAGCCUGUCGUGUCCGCCGAGUGGCUCCACGCCAACCUCAGGGACCCCGAUGUGAAGGUACUUGAUGCCUCUUGGUAUAUGCCUGCAGAACAAAGGAAUCCACUUCAGGAGUACCAGGUGGCUCAUAUCCCUGGUGCCUUAUUCUUUGAUGUCGAUGGAAUAUCUGACAGAGCAUCUAAUGUAAGUUCUGCUCACGAAUUAAAAAUUAGUCGAACUUCGUUAGUCUCUACAUGUUAUAUCACUGUCCCAUUUCGAGCAUCCAGUCUGCCACACAUGCUGCCAUCUGAAAAAGCAUUUUCUGCCGCUGUGUCUUCCCUUGGCAUCUACAACAAAGAUGGAAUAGUAGUUUAUGAUGGAAAGGGUCUAUUUAGCGCUGCCCGUGUUUGGUGGAUGUUUCGUGCUUAUGGACAUGACAAAGUUUGGGUUUUGGAUGGAGGUUUGCCCGAAUGGCGUGCUUCUGGGUAUGACGUUGAAUCAAGUGCCUCUAGUGAUUCUAUCUUAAAAGCCAGUGCUGCUAGUGAAGCAAUUGAGAAAGUUUAUCAGGGGCAAUCGGUUGGUCCCGCCACAUUUGAAGCAAAGUUGCAGCCUCAUCUUCUUUGGAAUCUUGAUCAGGUGAAAGAGAAUAUCGAGGCCCAGACACAUCAACUUAUAGAUGCUCGAGGGAAGCCUAGAUUUGAUGGUGCAGUUCCAGAGCCACGCAAGGGAAUAAGAAGCGGGCAUGUGCCUGGGAGCAAAUGCGUUCCUUUUCCUCAGGUGCUUGACAGUUCACAGAAGCUAUUGCCUGCAGAUGAUCUCUGUAAGCGAUUCGAGCAAGAAGGUAUAUCACUUGAUCAACCCAUUGUGACCUCUUGCGGCACUGGUGUGACAGCAUGUGUUCUAGCUUUGGGUCUUCAUCGCCUCGGCAAAACUGAUGUUGCUGUAUAUGAUGGAUCAUGGACUGAAUGGGGCGCUCACCCUGACACUCCAGUUGCUACCGCUGUUUAG
rnacentral:rRNA from 1 species